GUGAUUAUUUGAUGAACAGUUUAAUUACUUUUUAUAAAGUUACUAUAUAAUAUAUACUUAUUUUAAAGAUUAUAUUCUGUUUUGUAUUUUAAGAAGCAUUGUGAUUGUAUACAAUAUUGCAUCUUGUACUUUUUCCUACCAAAAAGUAUCGAUAAGUUUAGGGCUUCAUACCUUCCAACAGCAUUCGGCUGAGCAAACCUUACUACAUGCUUAAUACCAAACAACAAAACGAUUAUGGAUCUAUCAAGCUUGCAAGCUUUUGAAAUAUGAGCAACUGUGACAUUGUAAUGGUCUGUUUAUUUGCUAUGAUGACAAAAAAUGGACUAUACAGACAUUGCAAUUAUUAUACAUAGUGUAUGCCUGUCUGUGAGCGAAAUGCAGCUAAGGCGACCUUAAGAAAUUGUUAUAAAAAAUUAACUACUGGCAGGAGGCAAAUAUGUAAUAUAUUUAAUAAAUAUUAAUAUUGAUAGUGCUUUAUGAGCUUACUUAUACAUACUAUUAUUGUCUGAUAUUGGUUUAAAUAAUAGUUUCAAAGUCCCAAGUAUAUUUAUCACAUUAUGGAUGUUUAUUUUUUACCAGUUUAUUUGACUGAUAAAAUCCAUGACUUGAUCUGGCAAAAUGACGUCGAGCACGUAAAUGCCAAUUCCAGUAAAACAGAAUUCAAAGUUAGUCAGACAUUUGAAGAAUGUUUUCGUAAAAUGUGUUUUUGGUCCAAGGAAGGCUCUCUUAUACACUUCCUUUAAGUAUAAUGUUAAAUAUGAGAUCAUGACAAACGGUGUGAGAUCGCAUAUGUUUGUGACAGAGUUUUGAAAAAUAUUAAAAGGUUUUCAACUAAAACUAUAUUUUUACUACAAAAAAGGAUGUGAGUGGUGAUUUGCUGCGUCUUGCUGUUGACCCUUGCAACAUCAGGUAUUUUUGCCACUUCCACUCGAGGCUGCUUGUGCCCGUAUAAUUUGGAUCCAGUCUGCGGAAUCAACGGUCGAACAUACCCUAACUUGUGUUCUCUGAGAUGCUAUUGGGUACCGCUUUGGCAUUGGGGCGAAUGCUGGAGACGCACAAAAUAUUGAUGUAAUUCAAGCAGCCUUUGACACGAAGCGAUCUACAUAAACAAUACCGUAGACGUGUUCUGUUCUCUUGAAGUGUACUUGAAUAUGAAAAUAAAAUGUAUAUUUAUAAAUCUCGAGAACUGUGUACUCCAGUAAAUAUCAUCAACAACACUUGUGUCAGUUCCCUUUUUGGUAUAACUAUUAUACUUAUAUAUUUUAUUGUAUUGUUUAUUUAAGCCAAUCUAAAUCACACCUAUCAUUUUUUUGUGUGUAGCCAAACUGAAUUGGUGCAAUUGUUAUUGGUUUCACUGGUAUCAACACAUUGAUUUAACGUGAUUGAUUAAUGAAAUUAUGUUGUGUUUGUUUAAUAUUUUGUACGUAAGUAUUGCAAAUUCCUAAACAAAUAGCUGUUUUUUUUG